rnacentral:lncRNA from 1 species
AAAACAGCAAAAUCCUCCAUUCCCCAUCAGCGGUCGAUUGGGGGCUCUUUCGAAGCGGCAGCUCUGUAGGACCGCUCUUCUACCCCAAGAUCCCUCGGCUUCGGCCCCCUAGGUGCCAGGGUCUGCGGGACCCCACGCUCAAAGCCGCCGGCCGGGGUCGACAACUGCAGAGAGGGUCGGGAUAGGAAAUUGCGGGUAGCGGCAGAUGCGGGUCCCCAGGCAUCCCGGAGGUUCCCACAGGUCUGCAGUGGGCCUACUUUGCGAAAAGGGCCCGGCUGCGCCGAGCCUCGUUCAAAUCAGAUGCCAGACAGUGUUUCUUGGGAUCCAUCCAAAUAGGUCCCUUAUUUCUCUUUGUGGGAGCCCUGGGCCUCCUUCCAGGCCGGAACCCAAGUGCUUAGGCAGCCGGGAAAGGCCGGUCCCCUUUUUCAGUUCUCUCGCGACCUCUAGCCACUUCCGGUUGCUAACGGUUCCCAAACAGCCCCCGAAAACGCUACGUGAGCUGGGCCCUGGGCCAGAGGCAGAAAACGGACGGAAGAAAAGGUCUGGCCGGAGAUGGGUCUCACUCUGUCACCCAGACUGGAGUGCAGUGAGUGGUGCGAUCAUAGCUUACUGCAGCCUGAAACUCCUGGGCUCAAGUGAUCUUCUCGCCUCAGCCUCCUGAGUAGCUGGAGCUACAGGCCUCUGACAAUAUGAUACUAAGCCAUCAUAGCCCCUGUGACCGCCACGUAUACAUCCAGAUGACCUGGAGCAACUGAAGAACCACAAAAGAUGGCAUUCCACCAUUGAGAUUUGUUCCUGCCCCACCCCAACUAAUCAAUCGACCUUGUGACAUUCCCCCUGCCCCCGACAGUGAGUCUCAUGAUCUCCCCACCCAGCACCUUGGCACCUUGUGACCCCCGCCCCUGCCCACAAGAGAUAACCACCUUUAACUGUAAUUUUCCACUACCUACCCAAAUCCUAUAAAACUGCCCCACCCCUAUCUCCCUUUGCUGACUCUCUUUUUGGACUCAGCCCACUUGCACCCAAGUGAAAUAAACAGCCUUGUUGCUCACACAAAGCCUGUUGGUGGACUCUCUUCACACAGACUCACUUGACAUUUAUAGAACACAAAAUUAAGAAUAGUGAAUAUGAAAAGGUUCACUAAUAAGAAUUUAAACAAAACAAGAAAGAUUUUUAAGAUUGCUAAAGACAAACGAUUUAUAAUAUUCAGUGUUAGGAGGUGUGUGGAUAUACAGGCAUACUUAGUUUUACAUUUUUAGAAGGUAAGACUUAUUUAGAAGGUAAGAAGUUGUCCAUACCCCUUGAUUCAACAACUUAGCUUCUUGGAAUUAUCCAUAUAGAAAUGCUUACAUAAAUGUUUGAACGUAUGUACAAAGAAGCACUAUUUAUUUAAAUUGGGAAACUUGAAUGCCUAACAUUUGGAAUUUAAAUUUUUAUAUGUCUAUUCAUUAAAAUACCACCCAGUUUUUAGAAACUAAGAGAUGCUAAAGGUAUAUUGAGUAAAAUAAAAAGUUACAAAAGAU